UUCACACUGCCAAGAAAGAGUUGGAGGUGUGUGCGAGGUGGAGAGGAACGAUUCCAGUCCUUCAGGGCAGCCAUACUGGACGUCACCAGUCGGGCUAUCCCAGGACGGACGUCCAGAAGGGGCCCCGCUGACUGUGUCCCUCUCUUCUUUCCGCAGACGUGAUGUGCUCUCAGGUACCUUGCUUGGACUCAAGCCAAACUCGAAGAGAAGGUCCUUCUAAACCCACCCUUUUCAAAGCAGAGAAGAGGCGCCCUCCUCCUCCUCCUGGAGGUGAACCAGGAGGCACAUGCCUCCCCUGAGGGUCCCAGCCUGGGGACAGGCUGCCCCUCAGAAGAGCUGGGGGCUCAGCGAAUAACAUGCAGGCCCGAAGAGACUGAGAACUCGCAGAGCAAAUCACCCGGAAAGAAGCUCACUGCACUCUGGGUGUUUCUGUUGACAGCAGUAGGAUGUGGAUUUUCUGUUGCUGAACAGAAGCCUUCUGCUAAAAUCGCCUUCAGAAACCUUUGCUGUUCGUAGGCAUCCGUGAUCGCAAAGAGGUAAAGCCAGUAUGCCUGCUACAGAAGUGGCCUCCGAGGGGCGGCGUGGGAGCUCCAGCGGGCACACGGGAGAGUGGCGGGCCUGAGAGCGUGAGAAAUCACAAUUCUGCUCAAAGCAGCGAAGGCAGAGAUGGAGAAACCGUUCCUCCUCUUUCACGGCAAACACCCCGCGGGGUCACGGGGCAAAUAUCACCGGUGCUGACACGUGGCCACGGGGCUUGGCGCCUUACGAGGCAAGCUCAGCCACAAGGCCCUCCCUUCCAGGAGGUGUUCUGGAACACGUGGGGCAGGUCGACCCUCCGCAGAAACGAGCCAGACUACUGCCGUUCGGGAGCUAGAGGCCAAAGCAGCGUCCGGUAGAAUCACACUGUCCAACAGCCGGGGAAGCCGUGGAGGAAGCCAGGACGGCCCGUGGCCUCGUGGCCUGGCGCGCAGACCUCCUGUGGGCACCUGUCGGGGCCCUUCCACGUCCGGCGUUGCCACUGUGUACCCCUUUCACUCUGAAAAGGGCCAGAUGUGGGCCGCCAGUGAUCCGGCCCACCACCUCCAGGACUGACGCGUCUGGGACCGUAGCAUCACCGAGUCUUUUUCUUCAUUGACAGGGACAGCCUGGAGGAGAGAUUGGGGUCCGGUGGAAAGCGACCCCGAGCCUUCCAGCACAGCGUCUCGUGCCUUCAGGGCAUGCUGCGGGGCUGGGAGGGGGCCCUCUCUCCCAGGGAUGCGUGCUGCGGGCCCUCCCCCCUUCUCUUCUGUGAUGGGGGGCGGGGGAGAGCGCCUGCACACGCGGGGGGGUGUGCUGGUUGCCUCCCCCCAGGCACACACCAUCCGCACACCGUGCACGCGGGCUGAGCACUCGAAACACAAGCUCGACUGCGGUCCUGGUCUCCCGGGGCCCUCAGAGGUGUGGGGGGCUAGCCUGGGCCAGUGCCGGGCACGGGGUCAGCAACCGUGAGGCAAGGGCAAGGCCUCGGGGGUUCACAGCUGAGGAAGGCAGGAGAGGGGCUGGAAGGUUCUCACGCGGUUGACUGUAUGGAUUCGGCCAGCGGAUGGGGAUACUGAGUCACGCCGGGGCCUCCUUGUUCCUCCAGGCAGCUGUGCACGGCUCGACUUCGGGAUUUCCCUGUGCACGGGUUACAGAGCAAGGCGGGCAUGACCUGUCCAAAGAGGAGAAGGUCAAGGCCCAGGAGAAGAGACCCAGGGCAACUGUCCUGCGCCCCGAUCUCCCCCACUGCUGUCCUAGGAGGCAGGAGGGCCCUGCUGGAACCCGUCCCUCUGGUUACUGUCCCAUCGACAGCGAAUCUUGGCAUCCGCACUGCUCCCGGAUCCGGACAGCCUCCAGACAGCAGGAUGUACCCUCGCUUUGCAUUUAGAGCCUGAGCUCCGUCUCUCCUAAUCUCUCCACACAGACCGCCGUGCCUGAGACCCCAGCCAGGGCAGAGUGAGGGGCCUGACCCCAAAGGGGCAGUCGGGUAUCUGAAUGCUGACCUCCUCUUUUGCACUAAAAUGCUUGUGUGUUAUCAGAGGGGAGCGCACAAGAACGGAACCGCUUGAGCCUCUGCGUCCUCAGGCUGCGGUCGGUCCCUGGGGCACACCGCUAAUGGACGCGUUUGCGGACUCGCGUGUCCUUCAGGUCUGCUCACCAGCUCAGGAGCCACCAAGUGGCCGGUUUUGAUUUAUCAGGUCACUUCAGCACCACACACGGAAGCAUCUCGGCAAAUCUCCUCUUCCCCUGUCUUGCCUUCCAGACUCUCCCAGGCUCUGGCGGACCAGCGAGGACGAGCACGUCUGGUGGUAUCCACUCUCUUGUCGGUGUGCCCCGUCUGUGCGUGUGCGUGUGCAAUACCAUAGUGGACGAGGAUCAGGUUGGGGAUCUGAGGGGAGGCUCACUGCGGCCCACGGCCCUCAGCGGUCCGUUUGGCUCUUGGCCACUGAGAGGAGAGAACUACGGUCUCUGGGUAACUCCCUCUCUCUUUGGCCUUGUAAGGAAAUAUCUAGGGAAGACAGCAGAAGGUGUGUCGGUGAGAUUUGCAGGUGGCAUCAGAAGGUAUGAGAGAAAAGUGGUUUCUUCCCCUGCCCCUCCCUCCCCAUCCACCUGGCCCCACCCCCCGGCAGGUAACCUCUCUUUCUUUUUUUUUGUUUUUUGUUUUAAAUAUUUAUUUAUUAUUGAGAGACAGAGAGACACAGAGCGUGGGCAGAGGAGGGGCGUAGAGAGGGGGAGACACAGAAUCCGAAGCAAGCUCCAGGCUCUGAGCCCGACGCGGGGCUCGAACUCACAAACCGCAAGAUCGUGACCUGAGCCGAAGUCGGGCGCUUAACCGACUGAGCAAACCCAGGCGCCCCGGUAACCUCUCUUUCUUUCCUCAUUUCCCUCUGGCAUUUCACCUCCCUCCCUCAUCGCCCACUCAACGUAUCUGGAACCUACUCUUCACAUUUUGUGUGAAGGCCUGAAGAUACAAGGAUGGAUGAGGCCGCAUCCCCGCCCGUAAGGUACAAACGGAGGCCAUCCAGGAGGAUAAUCUUGGGUCACGUCACCCCGAGCGCUGGGCAAGGGGAAAACGGAAGCUGAGUCCUUGGCUACUACUUCUUGUAAGUGAACGGUUCCAAGAGGAGAGCCUUCCGAGCUUCCGGCCUUACCUGGAAACCUGCGGGCAGCGCAGGGUGUGAGUCAGAAUUAUGGUGGCCAACUGAGAGACGACUGCCAGGAAGACAGGACUUGAUGUUUCACAGUCCCUCCCGCCUGGAAGCAUGCUUCUUCAGGACUGGGCCCCGCCAGAGACUCAGCCUGACAUCCGCAGCUCUCUGUCCCACCUCCGUCACCUCCCUGCAGGCUCCGGGAGGCUUGGCAGCUAGAGGUGAUAGACUCUGGAAAUCGAUGUCUGCCAGGAACUCGGAAUAUGGGUGUGCUCAGCUCUGCACACUACCCCUGAUGGUCAUGGGAUCCCCUGAAACCCACACCACCCGACCCACCCUAAACUCAGCAUUUUGGUCAGGUCAGCAGCUGCAGUGGAAAAGACCCCUUUCCUUCAAUGGUCACGAACGUGGGUGUCCCUGCCCUACCGCUGCUGGGAAGCAAGGACAAACCAUUAACAGACGCUCGAAGUGGGGUGCGGUCCACGAGGUGGGGCUCAAGGACAGUCCUGGCUGGCUUGGCCCUCUGAAGCAGAUCUUCUUACCUCAAUCCUACAAUCAAUAGCUGCGGAAUCCGUGACUGUGCCAAGGACACACGGCCACUCAGAGGCACAACCGGCUCCAGGCUGGGCCGUCUGCCUGGGCUCCUAGUCCCUGGGGUCCUGGGGUCUGGAUCUGGUUCCCUUGGUCAUAUACUCAGCACCUGACAAUAAAUUACUUUUCUCCCAUG